UACGGAGGGUGCAAGCGUUAUCCGGAUUCACUGGGUUUAAAGGGUGUGUAGGCGGGCUGUUAAGUCAGUGGUGAAAUCUCCGUGCUCAACCCGGAAACUGCCAUUGAUACUAUCAGUCUUGAAUCUUGUUGAGGUAGGCGGAAUAUAUCAUGUAGCGGUGAAAUGCUUAGAUAUGAUAUAGAACACCGAUUGCGAAGGCAGCUUACUAAACAAGCAUUGACGCUGAGGCACGAAAGCGUGGGGAUCAAACAGG
rnacentral:rRNA from 1 species